rnacentral:rRNA from 1 species
UACGUAGGGGGGCUAGCGUUGUCCGGAAUCAUUGGGCGUAAAGAGCGCGUAGGCGGCCAGAUAAGUCCGGUGUGAAAGUCAAAGGCUCAACCUUUGAAUGCCGCUGGAAACUGUCUGGCUAGAGUCCGGAAGGGGCGAGUGGAAUUCCUGGUGUAGCGGUGAAAUGCGCAGAUAUCAGGAAGAACACCUAUGGCGAAGGCAGCUCUCUGGGACGGUACUGACGCUGAGACGCGAAAGCGUGGGGAGCGAACAGG